GAUGAAGAACGUAGCAAAAUGCGAUACUUGGUGUGAAUUGCAGAAUCCCGUGAACCAUCGAGUCUUUGAACGCAAGUUGCGCCCGAAGCCAUUAGGCCGAGGGCACGCCUGCCUGGGCGUCACACGUCGUUGCCCCCCCAUCUACUCCUUCGGGAUUGCGGGGGGCGGAUGAUGGCCUCUCGUGCGCCUCGUCGCGCGGUUGGCCUAAAUGCCAAGUCCUCGGCGACGCACGCCACGACAAUCGGUGGUUGCGAAACCUCGGUUGCCUGUCGUGUGCGGUCGUCGCGCAUCGAGGGCUCGAAAAAAUUGCCGGGCUUCGGCUCGACUUUCAACGCGACCCCAGGUCAGGCGGGGUUACCCGCUGAAUUUAAGCAUAUCAAUAAGCGGAGG
rnacentral:misc_RNA from 1 species